GGAAAUCUCUAUCAGAUGCUGGGCAGUGGCUUGAAGCAGUAGUAAAAUAUUUGUCGAAGGAGAAGUACCAAAUAUUAGAUUUUUGGUACAGGCUAUUGAAGUGAUCUGAUUGAUAUUUACAUAGCUGGAACUUGGAAGCAAAUGGAAGCUCAUGGAGUUUUGUCAUGAAUGCUUGAUGCUUUGUUUUCUCCUUUCCAAUAUCUUUAGCAAAAUUCAUUAUUUACUUCAACAGCCACUUGUUAUAGUAUAGAU